rnacentral:misc_RNA from 1 species
UGCUCUGCAUGGCGGAACUCCUGCGCAUCGGCGCAGCAGGCUGUCAUGGGGCYGUCUCUUCAUGGUCCUUCCUGUGAGGCGGCAUGUUUUGCCCGGGAGGGAUAUGCGGGUGCGGCAUUGUCUGUGUGGUGCUAUCCAUGCGGAGAAUUAAAUUGGUCCCAUGAUGGUUCUUUGUUGUGCUUGCCCCGUUGAUAAUUUAUUGUCGUCGGGGCAGCCGAAUUGUUGGCAAAACCCUUGUGCGUCCCACAACAUUGUGUUGUGGCGUCGCCCUCGGGUGAUGUCGGCUCUUGCGGAUGCUGUGUUCGUGAUGAGUCCUGGGGACUAUUGGUCCACACAGGCUCAGGAAGGUCCCUAGUACGGAACAUUGGUUUCUAUCGCUCGUCAUGUCGGUUCUACCGUCAUGUUGGGGCGGUGCGGGGGUUGCCAUUUCUGACCGAAUGAGUGGCGAUGGCGGGCUUGUUUGUUGGAAGGGCCUCCUCUCUGGGGUGGUUCCGGAAACAACGUGCCGGCUCUCGUUGAAGACGUGC